rnacentral:rRNA from 1 species
GAAGGUGUGCUGUGAGGCAUGCUGGAGGUAUCAGAAGUGCGAAUGCUGACAUAAGUAACGAUAAAGCGGGUGAAAAGCCCGCUCGCCGGAAGACCAAGGGUUCCUGUCCAACGUUAAUCGGGGCAGGGUGAGUCGACCCCUAAGGCGAGGCCGAAAGGCGUAGUCGAUGGGAAACAGGUUAAUAUUCCUGUACUUGGUGUUACUGCGAAGGGGGGACGGAGAAGGCUAUGUUGGCCGGGCGACGGUUGUCCCGGUUUAAGCGUGUAGGCUGGUUUUCCAGGCAAAUCCGGAAAAUCAAGGCUGAGGCGUGAUGACGAGGCACUACGGUGCUGAAGCAACAAAUGCCCUGCUUCCAGGAAAAGCCUCUAAGCAUCAGGUAACAUCAAAUCGUACCCCAAACCGACACAGGUGGUCAGGUAGAGAAUACCAAGGCGCUUGAGAGAACUCGGGUGAAGGAACUAGGCAAAAUGGUGCCGUAACUUCGGGAGAAGGCACGCUGAUAUGUAGGUGAAGCGACUUGCUCGUGGAGCUGAAAUCAGUCGAAGAUACCAGCUGGCUGCAACUGUUUAUUAAAAACACAGCACUGUGCAAACACGAAAGUGGACGUAUACGGUGUGACGCCUGCCCGGUGCCGGAAGGUUAAUUGAUGGGGUCAGCGCAAGCGAAGCUCUUGAUCGAAGCCCCGGUAAACGGCGGCCGUAACUAUAACGGUCCUAAGGUAGCGAAAUUCCUUGUCGGGUAAGUUCCGACCUGCACGAAUGGCGUAAUGAUGGCCAGGCUGUCUCCACCCGAGACUCAGUGAAAUUGAACUCGCUGUGAAGAUGCAGUGUACCCGCGGCAAGACGGAAAGACCCCGUGAACCUUUACUAUAGCUUGACACUGAACAUUGAGCCUUGAUGUGUAGGAUAGGUGGGAGGCUUGGAAGUGUGGACGCCAGUCUGCAUGGAGCCGACCUUGAAAUACCACCCUUUAAUGUUUGAUGUUCUAACGUUGACCCGUAAUCCGGGUUGCGGACAGUGUCUGGUGGGUAGUUUGACUGGGGCGGUCUCCUCCUAAAGAGUAACGGAGGAGCACGAAGGUUGGCUAAUCCUGGUCGGACAUCAGGAGGUUAGUGCAAUGGCAUAAGCCAGCUUGACUGCGAGCGUGACGGCGCGAGCAGGUGCGAAAGCAGGUCAUAGUGAUCCGGUGGUUCUGAAUGGAAGGGCCAUCGCUCAACGGAUAAAAGGUACUCCGGGGAUAACAGGCUGAUACCGCCCAAGAGUUCAUAUCGACGGCGGUGUUUGGCACCUCGAUGUCGGCUCAUCACAUCCUGGGGCUGAAGUAGGUCCCAAGGGUAUGGCUGUUCGCCAUUUAAAGUGGUACGCGAGCUGGGUUUAGAACGUCGUGAGACAGUUCGGUCCCUAUCUGCCGUGGGCGCUGGAGAACUGAGGGGGGCUGCUCCUAGUACGAGAGGACCGGAGUGGACGCAUCACUGGUGUUCGGGUUGUCAUGCCAAUGGCACUGCCCGGUAGCUAAAUGCGGAAGAGAUAAGUGCUGAAAGCAUCUAAGCACGAAACUUGCCCCGAGAUGAGUUCUCCCUGACUCCUUGA